UGCCAGCCGCCGCGGUAAUACGAAGGUCCCAAGCGUUGUUCGGAAUCACUGGGCGUAAAGCGUGUGUAGGCUGCGCGGAAAGUCAAAUGCGAAAGCCCGGGGCUCAACCUCGGAACUGCAUACGAUACUCCCGUGCUAGAGUAAUGGAGAGGUAAGUGGAAUUCCUGGUGUAGCAGUGAAAUGCGUGGAUAUCAGGAGGAACAUCAAUGGCGAAGGCAACUUACUGGACAUUUACUGACGCUCAUGGACGAAAGCCAGGGGAGCGAAAGGGAUUAGAUA
rnacentral:rRNA from 1 species